UAAAAAUUAUAUAUGAAUGAUAUUAACUGACAUGAUUAUGUCUUUUUGUUAUUUAGAUUUAGUGACUAGAGUAGAGGAUAAAUCCUCCUCAAUAUCUACCAGCCACAUUGAAGAAUCCAGCACUGAGGAAUCAUUCAUGAGUGACGAUAUGAUGAGUGAUGAUAUCCCCAUGAGUGUUCACUCCACACCGAAAUCCACUCCUCCAAGCAGUCCAGCUUUGGUCAAAGCCUCACCUACUGCAUCAGAGAGCAGGUUCAGAGAAGAUAGUACCUGGCAUUACAGCUUUGACAUACCCUGGAGUCAGAUGCCCUCCAGUACAAGAAAACUGUUGGAUACUGGAAAGAGGCCUUCUGCAGCACAGAGAAGGGAGAUUAUUAGGAUUGUGGCUGGUGAAAUACUGUCUGUCUGCAAGAAAUCAUGAAAGAAACACAUUACUGAAAUUUUAAGGAAGAUGGUAUUUCGCUACCCAAAAUCCUUCCAAGAUGAGAUUGAGGGUCAGAUUGUGGGCACUGGGUAUGACUCACUUGUAAAACAGUUCAUAUCUUGGCUAGAUAAUUGCAGACGACUCCAAACUUCUUCUGCCCAGAAAAGGCUUCCUGAAAGUUGCAGCCCUGACGAUGUGAAGAGAGUGUGCAAAGAUGCAUAUGGCUGUAUUAACUCUGAGCCAGAGCUUCCUCCUGGUGAAACAAAAAUUGCAAAAGCAAAAACAAGAAGAGCUAAUUAAGAUGUUCAAAAACAAAGACAAAGAUGCAAAAAAAAUAGAAAGACUGAUGGUGGACACGUUUCCCUCACAGAGGAGAAUCAUACUGUCAGCACUGAAAGAGACGGAAGAGAUUCUUAAGGAAUGGCCUUUCCUCUGCCAGGAAGCUGGAAUGAGGCUUCAUUUCAGAGAACUAACAGGUGUCCAGUUAGAUGCCGGCUUUGGAGAGUCCACAGCCACCAACUUUAGAAGAAUCCUGCAGUACUUUCAGUUUGUUAAAACUGAGUCAUCCAGCACAGCAAGAACUAUUCUGAGCCAAGCCCUGGCAGGAGCAAUACAAGAUGUUCCUAAAUGUCGAUGA
rnacentral:lncRNA from 15 species